rnacentral:rRNA from 1 species
AGAUUGAACGCUGGCGGCAGGCCUAACACAUGCAAGUCGAGCGGUAGAGAGGUGCUUGCACCUCUUGAGAGCGGCGGACGGGUGAGUAAUGCCUAGGAAUCUGCCUAGUGGUGGGGGAUAACGUUCGGAAACGGACGCUAAUACCGCAUACGUCCUACGGGAGAAAGCGGGGGACCUUCGGGCCUCGCGCCAUUAGAUGAGCCUAGGUCGGAUUAGCUAGUUGGUGAGGUAAUGGCUCACCAAGGCGACGAUCCGUAACUGGUCUGAGAGGAUGAUCAGUCACACUGGAACUGAGACACGGUCCAGACUCCUACGGGAGCAGCAGUGGGAAUAGUUGGACAAGUGGGCGAAAGCCUGAUCCAGCCAUGCCGCGUGUGUAGAAGAAGGUCUUCGGAUUAGUAAAGCUAACUUUAAGGUUGGAAGGUAAGGUUUAGUAACUUAAUACGUUGCUAACUUUGAACGUUUACCGACAAGAAUAAGCAACCGGUCUAACGUUCGCGUACCAGCAGCCGACGGUUAAC